rnacentral:rRNA from 1 species
GACGAACGCUGGCGGCGUGCUUAACACAUGCAAGUCGAGCGGUAAGGCCCUUUCGGGGGUACGACGAGCGGCGAACGGGUGAGUAACACGUGGGUGACCUGCCCUCAGCUCUGGGAUAAGCCUGGGAAACCGGGUCUAAUACUGGAUAUGACUCCAUGACGCAUGUUGUGGGGUGGAAAGCCUUGUGCGGCUGAGGAUGGGCCCGCGGCCUAUCAGCUUGUUGGUGGGGUGANGGCCUACCAAGGCGACGACGGGUAGCCGGCCUGAGAGGGCGACCGGCCACACUGGGACUGAGACACGGCCCAGACUCCUACGGGAGACAGCAGUGGGGAAUCUUGCGCAAUGGGCGAAAGCCUGACGCAGCGACGCCGCGUGAGGGAUGACGGCCU